UCGAUUUGCCUGAUAUUUACCUUGUUAUCCUCAAAGCAGUAAUUAGUGGAUCUCCUAUGUGCAAAUUCCUUUUUCAUAAUUUAUGCUUGAGAUUGGAGCUGCAUAAGGCUGGAGAUGUGAUAGGUUUUAUUCCUCUAGGUUUUGUUGUCCAUCAUUCUUUGAUGUUGUAGCUUCUCCAAUCUCACAUUGAUCAUCCUUGUUACAUUUCAAUUUCUUUGAUACUUUCGUGUGAGAUUCAGAUUGAUGAUAGUGGUAGGAAGUCAUGCUUGUACUUUUGGGCGAGAGCUGGUGAUUAUCUUGAGGUUAUAAUUGAUAGUUCCUUCGCAGCUCUUAGGCUUCAAUUUCCCUUUUGAGCGGUUGUGAAUUCUUGUGUUCGAUCGGGAUUUAGUUGUAGAUUUGGCACACACCGCAGGUUCUAUAUUCAAGGCUUAUGGUGAAAGUUGGUUCAGCUUUAGAGGUUCAUUUCUUCGAACGAUUGGAUUUGACUCUCUGAUUCCUUUGAAUUAUUGUGAUUUGUCGUAGCUUUAUUCCAAGAUAUCUUAUUGCAAGAUAACGUAUUUGUGUAAACUGAUCAUGGUUCAUGCUUAAGAUGCAAGCUGGAUGAAUCUGGACAUUUAUUGAUUUAAUCAUGAGUUGCAAUAAUCUAGGUUUUUUUGUUAUCUCUUUCGUUUUAGUGAUUAGCCAUGAUUGACUUGUGACUCGACGAGUAAUCUUAGAAUGGGUCUUGCUGUUGUAGAAUGGUCAUGUAAGGACUCAGUACUUUGGAUAAGUGGAUCAUAUUUGUGCAGAAGUUGCACAUAUGGGGGCUUCCUUGGAUUAUAUUAUUCUAAGUGAUGUUGGAACAUAUCACUACCUAAAAGAGUAAUAAUGACAGGUAUAUCUGUUCCUCAGACAAAUUUCGAGGACAAAAUUUUUAUUAGUGGGGGAGAUUGUGAGAUUCAGUAUUGAUUUUACUAAACAUGCAUAUAUAUAUAUAUAUACAUAGCUACACUUAUAUAUGUAUAUUAGAUACCACAUAUUUAUGUGACUGAGCAUUACACAAUUAAAAAAAAAAGAAAAAAAAGAGGAAAUUGGCAUGGCCCCCACGUGGCCCAAAAAUUUUCCACUAAGGACCAAUUUUGCCACCGCCAUUGACUUCUUUCUUUACUUUAGUAAUUCAUUUUUUUUCUUCUUUGUUCUGGGUUACCUGAAGAAAUCGAAGAACAGAGGGAGAAAGAGAAAGAGAGAGAGAGAGAGAGGAACAGAGAGCUCGAGAUGGAGCUUUGGGAAGAAGGGAGAUCAGAGGGACGAUUUCGGUGAGGGUGAUGGUGAUGGUCUUACGUUGUCCUCUGCUCCAUCUCUAUAAGCUUCUAGCUGUGCGGAAGAACCACUUUUUGAAAUCGGGGAUCAGCUCGGAGAAUUAGGUAGGGACUUUAGUUAUUUGAUAAGUAUUCUUUUUGCGUAGAAUGCAUUUAAAUAUGUUACGACCUGGAGCUUUUGUGUAGUUGGUUUAGUGAUGUGGGUGAAAAGAAAAUACUCUCUUUUGAGAUGCAUAUACAUAUUAGAGAUUGCUAGGUUGGAUAUAUAUACAUAUUUUUGGACCUUAUGGAAAGCAGGUUUUGAUAUGAAUAGUUUGUGUGGUAUGGGAUAUCGACGAAAUUAAGGGGAAGUUCUGUCGAAAUUUUGGGUCGUGACAUUAUGUUGUAAUGUGUGAUUAUAAAUUUUUUUGUUGCUAUAUAAAGAAUAAAACAUAACUCUACAUUUGGAUCUCUAACGUACCUUAAACUUAUAUAUGGUAAAUAUUUCUUUUCAA